rnacentral:rRNA from 1 species
AUUGAACGCUGGCGGCAGGCCUAACACAUGCAAGUCGAACGGUAGCACAGAGAGCUUGCUCUCGGGUGACGAGUGGCGGACGGGUGAGUAAUGUCUGGGAAACUGCCCGAUGGAGGGGGAUAACUACUGGAAACGGUAGCUAAUACCGCAUAAUGUCGCAAGACCAAAGAGGGGGACUUUCGGGCCUCUUGCCAUCGGAUGUGCCCAGAUGGGAUUAGCUAGUUGGUGAGGUAAUGGCUCACCAAGGCGACGAUCCCUAGCUGGUCUGAGAGGAUGACCAGCCACACUGGAACUGAGACACGGUCCAGACUCCUACGGGAGGCAGCAGUUGGGAAUAUUGCACAAAGGGCGCAAGCCUGAUGCAGCCAUGCCGCGUGUAUGAAGAAGGCCUUCGGGUUGUAAAGUACUUUCAGCGGGGAGGAAGGCAAUGCGGUUAAUAACCGUGUUGAUUGACGUUACCCGCAGAAGAAGCACCGGCUAACUCCGUG